GCGCGAGUGGUGAAAUGGCAGACACGCCAGACUUAGGAUCUGGUCCCGUAAGGGGUGGAGGUUCAAGUCCUCUCUCGCGCA
rnacentral:tRNA from 1 species